GAGAUGUUGGGUUAAGUCCCGUAACGAGCGCAACCCUUGUCCUUAGUUGCCAGCAUUUAGUUGGGCACUCUAAGGAGACUGCCGGUGACAAACCGGAGGAAGGUGGGGACGACGUCAAGUCAUCAUGGCCCUUACGAGUAGGGCUACACACGUGCUACAAUGGCGCGUACAGAGGGCUGCAAGCUAGCGAUAGUGAGCGAAUCCCAAAAAGCGCGUCGUAGUCCGGAUUGGAGUCUGCAACUCGAC
rnacentral:rRNA from 1 species